UCAGUAGUCGUACGUAGACUUGUUAAGUUGUAGACGAUUGAUUUAAAGACUUUCCUUAUUUCUCUGAACAAUGAUAAGGAAAUUUGUGUUGCUUAUUUUGGCAACUGCUUUGUUGCUGUGUUGCUGUUAUGUUCAAGCGCAACCAUCACAACAUGAAUGGGACUUCGACAACUGGGACUUGGGUAGGUCAGUUGAUUCAAGAUCCAGCGCUCGCCCUUGCGUUGAAGAAGUUGGAACUUGCGAUCCGGUAUGAUGUCAAUGAUGUUUCCAAGGCGCUGAAAACUUUGGGUCGAUCACUGUUUUUCGAUUAUUACAUUGAUGAUGAGUAAAUAUGGACGUGUAAUCAAGCGCAAGAAA